rnacentral:rRNA from 1 species
UACGGAGGGGGUUAGCGUUGUUCGGAAUUACUGGGCGUAAAGCGCACGUAGGCGGAUUGAUAAGUUGGGGGUGAAAUCCCGGGGCUCAACCCCGGAACUGCCUCCAAAACUAUCAGUCUUGAGUUCGAGAGAGGUGAGUGGAAUUCCGAGUGUAGAGGUGAAAUUCGUAGAUAUUCGGAGGAACACCAGUGGCGAAGGCGGCUCACUGGCUCGAUACUGACGCUGAGGUGCGAAAGCGUGGGGAGCAAACAGG